UUGGACCCACCUGAUUCCAUCCCGAACUCAGAAGUGAAACGAAACAGCGUCGAUGGUAGUGUGGGGUCUCCCCAUGUGAGAGUAGAACAUCGCCAGGC
rnacentral:rRNA from 2 species